GACGAACGCUGGCGGCGUGCUUAACACAUGCAAGUCGAACGGUAAGGCCCUUCGGGGUACACGAGUGGCGAACGGGUGAGUAACAUGUGGGUGAUCUGCCCUGCACUUUGGGAUAAGCCUGGGAAACUGGGUCUAAUACCGGAUAGGACCACUGCCUGCAUGGGUGGUGGUGGAAAGCUUUUGCGGUGUGGGAUGGGCCCGCGGCCUAUCAGCUUGUUGGUGGGGUGAUGGCCUACCAAGGCGACGACGGGUAGCCGGCCUGAGAGGGUGACCGGCCACACUGGGACUGAGAUACGGCCCAGACUCCUACGGGAGGCAGCAGUGGGGAAUAUUGCACAAUGGGCGCAAGCCUGAUGCAGCGACGCCGCGUGAGGGAUGACGGCCUUCGGGUUGUAAACCUCCUUCAGCACCGACGAAGCGCAAGUGACGGUAGGUGCAGAAGAAGGACCGGCCAACUACGUGCCAGCCGCCGCUGUAA
rnacentral:rRNA from 1 species